UUGCCAAUACACACGCCAGCAAACAUCCUCCAGACUCAGUACCCAACCCGGCUGGAUGUCCAGGUUGCUGAGACCUGGAGGAGUUAACACCAGACCCGCAGACGCCCACACUAAGGGUCUGAGUUCUCUCAGCAAAUAUCUACCUAGUGCCUGCUCCCUGCAAAGUUCACAGACACGUCAGCAAGCAAAGCAUCUCAACAUCCAUGCCCAGCAUGACUCACAGUUGCCAAGAGAAGAGGUCCCUCAAGUGUCCAUGGAUGGAUGACUGGAAUGCAGUCCAAGGAGAGUGUGGUUCAUUCAUUCAAGGCAAUGGUAUUCAGCCUUAAGAGGAAGGAUAUUCUG